AGUCUGCUCCCUGUUACACUGGGCGGUGUUGUUUCGACGUGAGAGCAUCGGAGCGAAGCGAAAUCCGGCUGAAAUUAGACUCAACUUUCUAUCGAAUGCAGAGUCUACGCCACUAUCAAACACACGGGCAGAGAUGGAAGAGUUUCUGCAGUAUACCAAGUCCAUUCUGAUGAAUGGAAAUGACCUGCCUAGAGUUCAUGCUGUACUUGGUGACAACAAAUGUGAUCUGGAUUCUGCUGUUUCAACUUUAGCCUAUGCUUAUUUCCUUUAUAAGACCCAAUCAGCUGAUGAUCUUUAUGUGCCUGUUCUGAAUAUACA